AGACAGCAGUAGCCACGGUAAAACGUAGGGUGCAAGCGUUAAUCGGAAUUACUGGGCGUAAAGCGUGCGCAGGCGGUUAUAUAAGACAGAUGUGAAAUCCCCGGGCUCAACCUGGGAACUGCAUUUGUGACUGUAUAGCUAGAGUACGGCAGAGGGGGAUGGAAUUCCGCGUGUAGCAGUGAAAUGCGUAGAUAUGCGGAGGAACACCGAUGGCGAAGGCAAUCCCCUGGGCCUGUACUGACGCUCAUGCACGAAAGCGUGGGGAGCAAACAGGAUUAGAUACCCCGGUAGUCCCUGUCUCUUAUAC
rnacentral:rRNA from 1 species